GGGCUUGUGGUUUAGUGGUAUAAUACUCCCUUAGCACGGUACGCGGUGGCUGUUCAGAGCAGCACCCGUACAGCUUGGGAGUGGUCCGGGGUUCGAUUCCCCGCAAGUCCA